GAUGAACGCUGGCGGUAUGCUUAACACAUGCAAGUCGAACGGAAUCUUCGGAUUUAGUGGCGGACGGGUGAGUAACGCGUGAGAAUCUGGCUUCAGGUUCGGGACAACCACUGGAAACGGUGGCUAAUACCGAAUGUGCCGAGAGGUGAAAGGCUUGCUGCCUGAAGAUGAGCUCGCGUCUGAUUAGCUAGUAGGUGUGGUAAAGGCGCACCUAGGCGACGAUCAGUAGCUGGUCUGAGAGGAUGAUCAGCCACACUGGGACUGAGACACGGCCCAGACUCCUACGGGAGGCAGCAGUGGGGAAUUUUCCGCAAUGGGCGAAAGCCUGACGGAGCAAUACCGCGUGAGGGAGGAAGGCUCUUGGGUUGUAAACCUCUUUUCUCAAGGAAGAAUAAAUGACGGUACUUGAGGAAUAAGCAUCGGCUAACUCCGUGCCAGCAGCCGCGGUAAUACGGAGGAUGCAAGCGUUAUCCGGAAUGAUUGGGCGUAAAGCGUCCGCAGGUGGCUGUGUAAGUCUGCUGUUAAAUAGUGAGGCUCAACCUCAUAAAGGCAGUGGAAACUACACGGCUAGAGUGCGUUCGGGGCAGAGGGAAUUCCUGGUGUAGCGGUGAAAUGCGUAGAGAUCAGGAAGAACACCGGUGGCGAAAGCGCUCUGCUAGGCCGCAACUGACACUGAGGGACGAAAGCUAGGGGAGCGAAUGGGAUUAGAUACCCCAGUAGUCCUAGCCGUAAACGAUGGAUACUAGGCGUGGCUUGUAUCGACCCGAGCCGUGCCGUAGCUAACGCGUUAAGUAUCCCGCCUGGGGAGUACGCAGGCAACUGUGAAACUCAAAGGAAUUGACGGGGGCCCGCACAAGCGGUGGAGUAUGUGGUUUAAUUCGAUGCAACGCGAAGAACCUUACCAAGACUUGACAUGUCGCGAAUCCCUGUGAAAGUAGGGAGUGCCUUCGGGAGCGCGAACACAGGUGGUGCAUGGCUGUCGUCAGCUCGUGUCGUGAGAUGUUGGGUUAAGUCCCGCAACGAGCGCAACCCUCGUUUUUAGUUGCCAGCAUUAAGUUGGGCACUCUAGAGAGACUGCCGGUGACAAACCGGAGGAAGGUGGGGAUGACGUCAAGUCAGCAUGCCCCUUACGUUCUGGGCUACACACGUACUACAAUGCUACGGACAAAGGGCAGCAAGCUAGCGAUAGCAAGCUAAUCUCAUAAACCGUGGCUCAGUUCAGAUCGCAGGCUGCAACUCGCCUGCGUGAAGGAGGAAUCGCUAGUAAUUGCAGGUCAGCAUACUGCAGUGAAUUCGUUCCCGGGCCUUGUACACACCGCCCGUCACACCAUGGAAGCUGGCAACGCCCGAAGUCAUUACCCCAACUUUUCGGAGAGGGGGAUGCCUAAGGCAGUGCUGGUGACUGGGGU
rnacentral:rRNA from 1 species